GUUAGGAUGGUAUAAAAACCUCAGGGGUUGUUUUGGAGAUUGUCCUCUUUCAACAGAAAUGAUCUUGAGCAGAAUAGCUGCUGGACUGCAAGACUAGUGUGACAUGGAAACAGCAACUUCAAGCUGCUUUUCAGCAGGGCCAGGCCCAAAUACAUGUGGGGGAAAACAGAAUAACCAUGUGUCAGCAUCCCUUUACCCUGUGGUGGAAGACAACUUUCUGCAUUUGACUUUUAAAAGCAUUUGUGUUUUAAAAUGUUUUUUAAUUAGUUAAUGUUUUAAAUUGUUGUUGGUAACUCAGGGAGCCAAUGCUAGAGAUAGGUGUGGGGUUUUAAAAGUACUUGGUUGCAAACUGUUGAUUUGGUGUGUUUAAAACUCGUGGGGUUUGUUUGUGUGUGUGUGUGUGUGUGUGUGUGUGAUUCAGGGGGCCUAUGCUAGAGAUAGGUGGGUGGAGUUUUACAGUACUUUAUUUCAAAACAGUUUGGUUUUUACUCUGAAAAAAGUGAUGUGUUUUUAAAAUGGGUUGUUUUAAAACUAGGGGGCCUGGGCAAGACAUAGUUAUGGUGGGGCAUUUAAAAAGUAUUUUAUUGCACACUUUGCUUUGGGUGCAUUGUGGAAACAUGUGCUUGUAUUAAAAAAAGUCUAGGUUUUAGAGAAACACUAGUGGUGGAAAUAAACCAAAACCUGUAUUUGUUGUACAGCCUGAAAUGGAUUGUUUUGUU